rnacentral:rRNA from 1 species
GAUGAACGCUGGCGGCGUGCCUAAUACAUGCAGGUCGAGCGAAUGGAUUAAGAACUUGCUCUUAUGAAGUUAGCGGCGGACGGGUGAGUAACACGUGGGUAACCUGCCCAUAAGACUGGGAUAACUCCGGGAAACCGGGGCUAAUACCGGAUAACAUUUUGAACCGCAUGGUUCGAAAUUGAAAGGUGGCUUCGGCUGUCACUUAUGGAUGGACCCGCGUCGCAUUAGCUAGUUGGUGAGGUAACGGCUCACCAAGGCAACGAUGCGUAGCCGACCUGGGAGGGUGAUCGGCCACACUGGGACUGAGACACGGCCCAGACUCCUACGGGAGGUAGCAGUAGGGAAUCUUCCGCAAUGGACGAAAGUCUGACGGAGCAACGCCGCGUGAGUGAUGAAGGCUUUCGGGUCGUAAAACUCUGUUGUUAGGGAAGAACAAGUGCUAGUUGAAUAAGCUGGCACCUUGACGGUACCUAACCAGAAAGCCACGGCUAACUACGUGCCAGCCGCCGCGGUAA